rnacentral:tRNA from 1 species
GUAGAGAAGGGUUACUUCGCACUUUUAAUGCCCGGGUCGCGGGUUCGAGUCCCGCCAUCUCCA